GGGAAUGUAGCUUAGUGGUAGAGUGCUUGUCUAGCAUGCAUGAAGCCCUGGGUUCAAUUCCUCAGUACCG
rnacentral:tRNA from 1 species